CAGAAUGUAGCUAAGAAAGACAAAGCAUCCCCCUUACACUGGGAAGUCCCCCGUGCAAUUCGGGUCACUCUGA
rnacentral:tRNA from 1 species